CGUGCUAACAGCAAACAUGGAUGUAAACAAUACAGGUUUAAACAAAUUCUUUGAAAAUGUUUUAGAAGUGAGGAAAUCCAUUCAUGUUUUUUGGAUGUUAUGUAGAAAAACAAUGCAUUCGAUGAGCACAAAACAAUAAGAGGAAAAUAAGAACUAACAGCUGUGAACUCGAGAUCAAACUGGAGGCAUAACCACUCAAGUAAAAGAUGGGACAAACAGGACAGGAUUUCAGAUUUGGGACAACUGCUCAUAAUUCAAGACUGUCCCCAAUUUUUCGGGACGUCUGGACACUCUACAGUCCUCUCAGCUGCUAGCAGCCCAACAGUGUGCAUCGUCAUCCUGGGGAGAAAAUGAUCCGGAUCAGAUGAACUGAUCUUUGCAGCUCUUUACCGCUUGCUCUAACGUCUCUGCAACAAUUUGUUAUAUGAUAUAAUCCUGAUAUAUCCUUUUGGAAGAUAAAUGUUGGUCUCACAGAUGAAAUCUAACAACUGUAGCUGCCACAUUAGUUUGUCUGAA